AUAUAACUAAGCGGAGGAAAAGAAACUAACAAGGAUUCCCUCAGUAACGGCGAGUGAAGCGGGAAUAGCUCAGACUGAAAACCUUCGGGAAUGUGGUCUGCAGAUGGGACAUCGAAUCUUCGGAAGCUGAUAAAGUGGUCUGGAAUGACCCGCCGUGGAGGGUGACAGCCCCGUUCGUAUCAGUGGAAAGAGUAAGUAGAUGCCUAUCAACGAGUCGAGUUGUUUGGGAUUGCAGCUCAAAGCGGGAGGUAAAUUCCUUCUAAAGCUAAAUAUCGAUAGGAGACCGAUAGCAAACAAGUACCGUGAGGGAAAGAUGAAAAGCACUUUGAAAAGAGAGUGAAAUAGUACGUGAAAUUGCUGAAAAGGAACCGCUGGGAAGCAGUGUGGUGGGUGUAGAUUCAUCUAUGCCAUACCAAGUGAGGCUUGUUUCGAUGGCAAGGGAAAAGGUCUGUUUAGUCAGUCACCUGCCGAGCUUCGGAACGACUCUCACGAAAUGCUUCUCAUCAA
rnacentral:rRNA from 1 species